rnacentral:rRNA from 1 species
UACGUAGGUGACAAGCGUUGUCCGGAUUUACUGGGCGUAAAGAGCGCGCAGGCGGUCGUUCAAGUCGAGUGUGAAAGCCCCCGGCUCAACUGGGGAGGGUCAUUCGAUACUGAUCGACUCGAAGGCAGGAGAGGGAAGUGGAAUUCCCGGUGUAGUGGUGAAAUGCGUAGAUAUCGGGAGGAACAUCAGUGGCGAAGGCGGCCUUCUGGUCCAGUACUGACACUCAAGUGCGAAAGCGUGGGGAGCAAACAGG